rnacentral:sRNA from 1 species
UUGCCAGCCCUGGGAAAGUCGUCCUCUGUUUAUUUACAGAAUAGUUACAUUGCAGACAACAGCAGCACGAGUUUUCCUCCCAAUGACUUGCCUCAGACCCAUAUUGGAGAAGCCUUUUGCAGCGAUCAGAAUGAAUAGGUGUUCAGUCUCCAUGGCCUAUUCAGUCCUUGGCCUUU